AGGUUCAGAGUCCUUCUUGGAUGCAGCCUCAACCAUAUAUAAUGCAGCACCCAGGUGCUGUACUGACUCCCUCCAUGGACCACACCAUGUCACUACAGCCUGCAUCGAUGAUAAGCCCUCUGACACAGCAGAUGAGUCAUCUUUCAUUAGGCAGUACUGGAACAUACAUGCCAGCCACAACAGCUAUGCAAGGAGCCUACAUACCCCAAUAUACACAUGUCCAGACAGCAGCGGUUCCUGUUGAGGAAGCCAGUGGUCAACAACAGGUUACAGUAGAGACGUCCAGUGACCAUUCUCCAUAUACGUAUCAGCAAAAUAAGUAACUGUGAGAUGUCCAGUGUUGACCUGGCCUGGAGAAGGGUGCAAAGGCUGAAACAAUCAUGGAUUUUACUGAUCAAUUGUGCUUUAGGAAUUAUUGACAGUUUUGCACAGGUUCUUGAAAAUGUUAUUUAUAAUGAAAUCAACUAAAACUAUUUUUGCUAUAAGUUCUAUAAGGUGCAUAAGAAAAACCUUAAAUUCAUCUAGUAGCUGUUCCCAUGAACAGGUUUAUUUUAGUAAAAAAAAAAAUUUUUAUCAAGUGUUAUGACGCAAAAAAAAAAAAAUUCAAAUUUCUGGGUAUGCACAGAUGACCACGAAGACUUAUUCACGUGCAUGACAGAAUUUGUGUUUUGGUUUAUUUUUAUUCUGUUUGUUUCUUUUUUUUUUUUUUUUAAUUGUAUGAAAUGGGUUUUCUGAAGUUUAAAAUAGUAAAACAUCUAAGAUGAUGUUCUGUGCUUGCAGUGUGUGAGUGUUGCUUUAGUGCAGUGUUGCAGUUAUAGUGUCUGGUCUUUUAGCUUUCUGUUUUUCUUUUAAUGUAGUGUGAAGUGUCUUAUCCUUUUCUAUAAAUUCCAAUUUGCCUUAAAUCUUUCAAUGCUGUAGCUGUUUCAGUAAGUAGUCCAAACUAAUGGUGUAGAACGCUUUGACCAAAUGAGCUGGUCUAUUAUGCCUUGUAAAACAGCAGCAUAGGGCUUUUAAAGGUAGUCAAUAAAAAUUGCUGAAAAUUUGGCUUUUUUAAUGUGUAGUAAGUGUUUUUAAUGAUUUUUCACAUAAUAUGUAAGGUAGUGAAAUGCAAGAGGGGAAAAAAUGUUUUGUGUGAAACACAUUUUCUGACUGGGGAAAUUUUAAUAGGAUAAAUUGUUUGUAAGGCCAUAUGCCAAUAGUUCCCUCUGGUAGUUUGAAUGAUUUAGGAACUCUGCUGUAUGAUGCAAUGUAAAAUCUUUUUUUGCCUUUUUUCAGAAACUAACUUGAUGUUCUAGUUUUAGCAUAGGUAGAGUAGGGAGUUUGGGGUGGGGAUAUCACCGAAUGUUUUUCUCCUUCCUUUAUACUAAUGAUAGUGCUUUAGGAUGAGGAUUGUGCUGAGACUUAGCAAACAGAAAAGUUGCUAUUACAGCGAAAUGGCAAAAGCUAAAGGACUCGUUUUCAAACAUACGCUGAGAUGUAAGUAGAAGCAUAAUUGAUUGGGUACUAGCUCUCUAUAGUAGGUAAAUAAAAAUAAAAAGACUUGGCACUUUUAAAAGGUAACUUUACCAAAGAACAAAGAGCCAGUAACCAAUAAUUCUGAUUUGUCUCAGCAUUACGUCUUCUGUACUCUUUAUUUUUGCCGGACCAGUUUGCGGUUAGGAGAAUGUGCCUUUUUUGUACAUUUGCAUUUAGGUUUUAUAAUUUUAAUUGAUGUAUGGACACAAAAGCAUGAAGGAAGACUUGGAUCCAAGCAGUGCCACACUUUACAUCAUCACUACAAGUGUUAAGUGUAAAGAAAACCAAUUUUGAAACUAUGAAAUUCCUGAUUCAUAAAUACACAGUUAUUUGUACUUCACAUAUUAGAUAAUUCACUGCUACUAAAGCUCUUUAUUACAAUUGCAUAUGUUUUAAAUCAAAUGAUAAAUUAAGUUGUCUUCCAAAACUGUGUACUUCUCUGGUCAGCUGUAUAUGAUCAGUUAUCUACCUCAAAGUUUAUUUCCUUUUGUAUUGGGACAGGUUGCUGGCCCUCCCUGUUUCCACAGACCAAAUCAUCCUAGCUCAGGAGCUAGGGCUAAGCAGUUGUUUCUUUCAAGUAUUUUUUAGUUUUUAAAUUUUGUGUGAGUAUUGGAGUAUAGAUGUCGGUGACAUUUCAUAGUUUCAAAAGUAAAUUGCUGCUCUGAGAAGUGUAGAUUCUAGUGAAAUACAUAGUCAUAAGAGAUGUGUUUUUGUUUUUUCUUUUUUUAAAAGUUGUGGUAUUAUUGGUUCUAUGCUCCCUGGAAUAUUACUGCUUUGUAAAAGUCCAGACUUCCUGCAGCACCUUGCCUGUAUCUGGUAACUUUCCAAACCUGGAUCUCUCACUACUUGAUAUUUUUGCGUUAAUUAAAACUGCAGUAUGAUAGCUGUGUUAGAGGGAGGGAAGAGCUGCUGCCAGAAAUGUCUGAACUAAGUGCCAUACUCAUUGUCUGGGUAAGAUUUGGGAAAUUUAACCUCUGUACAUAAAGAAAUAAUCAGUUACUUAAACAUCACAUAGUAGACAGCCAUUAAAUUAUAAAAAAUUAAUUUAUGAAGAAAGACCUUUUGUACAGAUUGAAAAAAAAAGAUUUUCAUAGAGAUAUCUAUAUGAUCAAGAGAGUUAAUUUUUUAUUUUUGUUUUACUAGUGCCACAAACUUGCCAGUGGUAACUUAUUUGUCCGGUUCAAGAUAACUCUGUAGUUUUGUUUCCUAGGACUUGUUGUUAAACGCCAAAAGACAUUUUUGAACUGUAAAUUUGAUUAGAUUGUUAGCUUUUUUCUGUUUUAUUUCUUUGAAAACUUUUGAAUAAAAAAGAUCCA